UGGCUCAGAUGGUAGAGAAUCUGCCCGCAAUGCAGGAGACCCAGGUUCGAUCCCUGG
rnacentral:tRNA from 1 species